CUACGUGCCAGCAGCCGCGGUAAUACGGAAGGUCCAGGCGUUAUCCGGAUUUAUUGGGUUUAAAGGGAGCGUAGGCUGGAGAUUAAGUGUGUUGUGAAAUGUAGGCGCUCAACGUCUGAAUUGCAGCGCAUACUGGUUUCCUUGAGUACGCACAACGUUGGCGGAAUUCGUCGUGUAGCGGUGAAAUGCUUAGAUAUGACGAAGAACUCCGAUUGCGAAGGCAGCUGACGGGAGCGCAACUGACGCUUAAGCUCGAAGGUGCGGGUAUCAAACAGGAUUAGAUACCCUGGUAGUCCGCACAGUAAACGAUGGAUGCCCGCUGUUGGUACCUGGUAUCAGCGGCUAAGCGAAAGCAUUAAGCAUCCCACCUGGGGAGUACGCCGGCAACGGUGAAACUCAAAGGAAUUGACGGGGGCCCGCACAAGCGGAGGAGCAUGUGGUUUAAUUCGAAGCAACGCGAAGAACCUUACCAGGUCUUGACAUCCC
rnacentral:rRNA from 1 species